rnacentral:rRNA from 1 species
CGCGUAGGCGGUUUUGUAAGUCAGAUGUGAAAGCCCGGGGCUCAACCCCGGAAGUGCAUUUGAUACUGCGAGACUUGAGUAUGGGAGGGGGAAGUGGAAUUCCUGGUGUAGAGGUGAAAUUCGUAGAUAUCAGGAGGAACACCAGUGGCGAAGGCGACUUCCUGGACCAAUACUGACGCUGAUGCGCGAAGGCGUGGGGAGCAAACA